rnacentral:rRNA from 1 species
GACGAACGCUGGCGGCGUGCUUAACACAUGCAAGUCGAACGGAAAGGCCCUGCUUGCAGGGUACUCGAGUGGCGAACGGGUGAGUAACACGUGGGUGAUCUGCCCUGCACUUCGGGAUAAGCCUGGGAAACUGGGUCUAAUACCGGAUAGGAGCCAUUUUUAGUGUGAUGGUUGGAAAGUUUUUUUCGGUGUAGGAUGAGCUCGCGGCCUAUCAGCUUGUUGGUGGGGUAAUGGCCUACCAAGGCGGCGACGGGUAGCCGGCCUGAGAGGGUGGACGGCCACAUUGGGACUGGGAGACGGACCAGACGCCGACGGGAGGCAGAAGUGGGGAAGAGUGCACAAGGGGCGCAAGCCUGAUGCAGCGACGCCGCGGGGGGGAUGACGGCCUUCGGGUUGGAAACGCAUUUCGCUAGGGACGAAGCUGUUUGUGACGGUACCUAGAGAAGAAGCACCGGCUAACUACGUG